GCGGAUGUGGCGGAAUUGGUAGACGCGCUAGCUUCAGGUGCUAGUGCCCGCAAGGGCGUGGAGGUUCAAGUCCUCUUAUCCGCA
rnacentral:tRNA from 1 species